ACUUUUAUUCUAGGAAGACAGUUAAACCCUGUGUGUAGUUUUCACAAAAUUCAGUUCCAGUUUGUCCUAGUUUCCUUGGUCAUGGUGAUUUAUUAGGUGGAACCCUGCACUAUGUCAUCAAAUGAGAACAACUGUUGAAAAAUAUCCUGCCAGAUUUGAUUUAGGCCAACUAUUAAUGACAGAGAUGCAGCAUAGCUGAGAAAAGGAUAUAAAACAAGUUUCAAGAUUUAUUUAACUUAAAUUUCAAUCAAAUGAAGAAGUCAUUAUGAAACAUGAAUCAUACAGGUAUUGGGCAGAAGCAAGAGAAUAUAUUGAGCCAUGCUGGGUGAUGUGGUUGGACGCUUUGCAUUUCGAAGGAAGUAAGAACGGCUUGUUAGACCAUCUUCAAAUGCCAUUAUUGUGGAAAGUGGCAAUAGAAAUCCCCAAGAAGAUGCAUAUUUAACUUUUAAAAUAACUCUAGUAACAUUAUUUGACAUUUUUCCUUAAAAAAAAAAUCAC
rnacentral:lncRNA from 1 species